rnacentral:rRNA from 1 species
AGGGUUCGAUUCUGGCUCAGGAUUAACGCUGGCGGCAUGCCUAAUACAUGCAAGUCGAAUGGUUAGCUUGCUAACCAUGGCGAACGGGUGAGUAACACGUAGGUAACCUGUCUUCAAGACGAGGAUAACCAUUGGAAACGAUGGAUAAUACUGGAUAGGACAAAUCCCCGCAUGAGGAGAUGUUUAAAGGAGCAAUCCACUUGAUGAGGGGCCUGCGGUGCAUUAGCUAGUUGGUGAGGUAAAGGCCCACCAAGGCGAUGAUGCAUAGCCGGACUGAGAGGUUGAACGGCCACAAUGGAACUGAGAACGGUCCAUACUCCUACGGGAGGCAGCAGUAGGGAAUUUUCGGCAAUGGGCGGAAGCCUCGACCGAGCAAUGCCGCGUGAACGAUGAAGUAUUUCGGUAUGUAAAGUUCUUUUAUUUGGGAAAGAAAAAACAAAUUGACGGUACCAAAUGAAUAAGCUCCGGCUAGCUACGUGCCAGCCGCCGC